UAGGGAAUCUUCCACAAUGGGCGCAAGCCUGAUGGAGCAACACCGCGUGAGUGAAGAAGGGUUUCGGCUCGUAAAGCUCUGUUGUUAAAGAAGAACACGUAUGAGAGUAACUGUUCAUACGUUGACGGUAUUUAACCAGAAAGUCACGGCUAAAUACGUGCCAC
rnacentral:rRNA from 1 species